rnacentral:snRNA from 1 species
GUGCUCGCCUCGGCAGCACAUAUACUAAAAUUGGAACGACACAGAGAAGAUUAGCAUGGCCCCUGUGCAAGGAUGACAUGCAAAUUCGCGAAGCAUUCCAUAUUUUU